rnacentral:tRNA from 3 species
GGGCUGUUAGCUCAGUUGGCUAGAGCACCUGCCUUACAAGCAGGGGGUCGCAGGUUCAAGUCCUGCACGGCCCA